rnacentral:rRNA from 1 species
CCUACGGGAGGCAGCAGUGAGGAAUAUUGGUCAAUGGCCGAAAGGCUGAACCAGCCAAGUCGCGUGAGGGACGACUGCCCUAUGGGUUGUAAACCUCUUUUAUAAGGGAAUAAUACGUGCCACGUGUAGCAUUAUGCCUGUACCUUAUGAAUAAGCAUCGGCUAACUCCGUGCCAGCAGCCGCGGUAAUACGGAGGAUGCGAGCGUUAUCCGGAUUUAUUGGGUUUAAAGGGUGCGUAGGCGGUUUUUUAAGUAAGUGGUUAAAUUUCGGGGCUUAACCUGGAAUUGCCAUUAAUACUGUAAGACUUGAGUGCAGAUGAGGUAGGCGGAAUAAGUGAAGUAGCGGUGAAAUGCUUAGAUAUAACGUAGAACUCCGAUUGCGAAGGCAGCUUACCAGACUGCGACUGACGCUGAUGCACGAGAGUGUGGGUAUCGAACAGGAUUAGAUACCCCGGUAGUC